rnacentral:lncRNA from 13 species
GUUAACUGCGCACUAGGGGUGUGUCGUGUACUGGAUUUUUGUGUGAAGACAAUAGUGCGGUUGUAACUAGUCCUUGUAGCUACUGUUGUCUGCAGAUAUUCCAAGGAAAAUCUGGGGGGGAAAAGGGCAGAGGAGAAGAUCAUGGUGAGAAGGGCAGCAAGGAGACCAUUCCCAGAAGACUGGUUACGAUUUGGAUCACACUGCUUCCUGUUUGUCGAGACUGAAAGGAACUGGCCUGAUGCAGAGCUACAUUGUGUGUCCCUGGGAGCAAACCUGGCAUCUGUGCACAGCUAUGCAGAUUACUAACAUCUACAGGCUGUGGUGGUGAACACGGAUAGGGAUUUACCUGCUGCCUGGAUUGAGUAUAUGAAGCUGUUCUGCUAGAUGGUACAAAGGUACCAAAUGUCAUAUUUGAGUAAAUCAAAUCAAGCUUUUAUAUUUCAGACAUGAAUAAGAUGUGCUUCACUUUUUUUUUUACGAUGAAAUUAUACCACUUCUCUCUGCGUCCGGUUUGAAAUAAUGUAGUUUCUGGAGCCAUUGCUACCUAGCAUUUGCUCAAUGAUGAAGUCUACAGGAACAGCUAGCAUGCUAAAGACCUAAAUGGUAUCUAUGCGUUCAUCUGACUCUUAGUAAGACUUCAUUUCCUAAAUCUAACAUUAUCCCUUUCAACACAUAAAGAGCAGUGGUGAAUCCAAAUGUGCCUCAAGCUUUUCAAAUAGUUAUAGUUUCAAUGGUAUCAAAGCUGUAUACAAGCAACCAAUUUAACUAGGCAAGUUGGUUAAGAAGCUAUUCUUUACUAACAAUGACUACCGGUAGAACAGUGGGUGUUCAUGCAUUUUGAUGAACUGGACAGGUACUGUAAGCCCACUGUCAUUUCACUGAUCUAUUCAUCAAAUUAACGUUUUCAUAGUACAUUUGACAAAUCUCAGACACAGCCAAAAGUACACUAUUCUGUUUUGUAUGCAUUUGCGUUGAUUUGAAUUAAUGUAUGUUCUGUUUCCUCUUCAGAUGAGAAAGGCUGGAAUGAUUCAGCAGGCAGGGACAAUGUAUUUCCCUCUGUGUGCUCCCUAAGAACCUUUUUCAAAUAAAUGUUCUGUUUACUGUUC